UAGUAGCUGGUUCCCUCAGACUAACUGGCGCCCUGAAGUUCAAUCUUUUCUGGAAAAGCGAAUGAUUAGACGCAUUGGGGCCGAAACAAUCGUAAUCUACUCUCAAAUGCUCAAUGAUCGAAUGUCCCCCUUGCUUCAGUGAAGCCGUAACGAGGAAGGAGAGUACCCAGUGGGCCUCUUUUAAUACGCAGAACUGGCGCGUUGGAAUGAAUCAAAUGCUGGGUUAUGGUGCCUGAUGGGAGACGCUUGCGAGAUCCUAUGUAAGGUGUUUGUUACUCUCGAAAGCAAGAUAGUGGCCAUGGAAGUCGUAAUCCGCUAAGAGUGUUACAACUUACCUGAUGAAACAGUUAGCUCUAAAAAUGGAUAGCACUCCUGUUUAUGUGAGGAACUUCGGAUGGCAGUGAGUAGGGGAUGGUGAUGGAGAGUAUCGAAAGCACGGGAGCAAGCCUGCCUGAAGGCUCCGUCGAUGCAGAUCUUGGGGGUAGUAGCAAAUACUCAAAUGAGAAUCUUGAGGAUGAAGAAGGGUUCCAUGUGAACAUUUGUUGAACGUAUGUGAGUCGACCCUUAUGGAUCGUAGAGAUCCAUUUCUGAAACGAGACCUUAUCGAUUUCUGAAUUUGUAUCGAUGCCGAACAAAAGGGAAUCGGUUUAAAAGUCCCAUAAAUAUAGACUGGGGCACCGACCCUGAGUUCGGUAAAGCAAACUAAGGCGCCCGGGGGAAGGGAACCAGGGAAAAUGGAUGUACAGUUGUCCCUUGAAGAGAAUCAUGCUGAGACAGAGACUUGGCCUCGAAAGAACAACUCUUUUCACGAGAGUGUUUGCGACCAUUUUACCGGCCCUUGCAAAUCUGAGAGACAGAGUGUGGUUUUCGUACUAAUCCAUAUCCAUAACCGCAGAAGAUCUCCAAGGUGAACAACCUCUAGUCGAUACAAUGAUGUAGGUACGGGAAGCCGGGAAGUUUGAUCCAUAACUUUGGAAUAAGGAUUGGCUGAGAGAGCCGUUGUGAGGUGGGAAGCACGAGGGUUUUCCUGUACGUACUGUGAGUUUUUCCCCGCGUGGAAUACCUCAGCAAGACGGUGAAUAUGGAUCGAGUCUGCGGUACUGUACCCUUUCAGUGGACGCUUGACGGCCGACUCAGAACCGUCACGGACAAACGGAAUCCGACAGUUUAAUUAAAACACUGCGAUCAGUGUUGACUCUAUGUGAUUUCUUCCCAGUGCUCUAAAUGUCUUAAGUGAUGAAAUUCAUCAGAGCUUGGGUAAACGGUGAGAGUUACU